GACGAACGCUGGCGGCGUGCUUAACACAUGCAAGUCGAACGGUGAAAGCGGAGCUUGCUCCGCUGGAUCAGUGGCGAACGGGCGAGUAACACGUGGGCAACCUGCCCCUCACUUCGGGAUAACUCCGGGAAACCGGGGCUAAUACCGGAUAUGACCUCCUUGGGCAUCCUCGGAGGUGGAAAGUUUUUCGGUGAGGGCUGGGCCCGCGGCCUAUCAGCUUGUUGGUGAGGUAGUGGCUCACCAAGGCGACGACGGGUAGCCGGCCCGAGAGGGCGACCGGCCACACUGGGACUGAGACACGGCCCAGACUCCUACGGGAGGCAGCAGUGGGGAAUAUUGCGCUAUGGGCGAAAGCCUGACGCAGCAACGCCGCGUGCGGGAUGACGGCCUUCGGGUUGUAAACCGCUUUCAGCACAGACGAAGCGCAAGUGACGGUAUGUGCAGAAGAAGGACCGGCCAACUACGUGCCAGCAGCCGCGGUAA
rnacentral:rRNA from 1 species